GCAUUCUUUGUUUAAAUUAAUCCACUAGCCAUAUUAGCCUACCUUUAUGAUAAUCCAUUUGUUAGCCCUUUGAGCCUAUAGCCUUUUUCUUAUUUUUAACCCUCAUUACAAGCCUCAAAACAAGAAAAACCAUGUUUGUCUCUACAUUAGAAGAUAAAGGAGCUUUGAAAUUAUUUGGGAAUAGAUUUUUGAAUAAGUGUGGGGGUGUAUGUCAUUUCCAUAGUUUACCUCUUCG
rnacentral:lncRNA from 1 species